rnacentral:rRNA from 1 species
GGAUUAGAUACCCUGGUAGUCCACGCCGUAAACGAUGUCAACUAGCUGUUUGUGUUCUUGAAACGUGAGUAGCGUAGCUAACGCGCUAAGUUGACCGCCUGGGGAGUACGGCCGCAAGGUUAAAACUCAAAUGAAUUGACGGGGGCCCGCACAAGCGGUGGAGCAUGUGGUUUAAUUCGAUGCAACGCGAAGAACCUUACCUACACUUGACAUGCAGAGAACUUUCUAGAGAUAGAUUGGUGCCUUCGGGAACUCUGACACAGGUGCUGCAUGGCUGUCGUCAGCUCGUGUUG